CGGGACGGGUGAGUAACGCGUGGGUAACCUGCCUCAUACAGGGGGAUAACAGUUAGAAAUGACUGCUAAUACCGCAUAAGCGCACAAAACCGCAUGGUUUGGUGUGAAAAACUGAGGUGGUAUGAGAUGGACCCGCGUCUGAUUAGCUAGUUGGAGAGGUAACGGCUCACCAAGGCAACGAUCAGUAGCCGACCUGAGAGGGUGACCGGCCACAUUGGGACUGGGACACGGCCCAAACUCCUACGGAAGGCAGCAG
rnacentral:rRNA from 1 species